rnacentral:rRNA from 1 species
GUCUAUGGCCAUGCUAUCCUGAACAAGCCUGAUAUCUGAUUUUGGAAGCUAAGCAGGGUAGGGCCUGGUUAGUACUUGGAUGGGAGACCACCUAGGAAGACCAGGUGCUGCAGGCA